CCGAAAGUCAGUGUGUAUGUGUUUUGAUGAGAUGCAGAUGAUGUAUGCUGAUGCUUCUAACUUGGAGAGGACACCAGGAUGCAGGAUCAAGGACCUUUAUGGUUCAGUGUGUAAGUGAGUGGUAAGACGGAGAAUUUGGGUACCAAUGAAAUGGAUCGGCA